UACAGAGGGUGCGAGCGUUAAUCGGAAUUACUGGGCGUAAAGCGCACGUAGGUGGCGACGUAAGUCGGGUGUGAAAGCCCCGGGCUCAACCUGGGAAUUGCAUUCGAGACUGCAUUGAUGGAGUACGGAAGAGGAAGGCGGAAUUCCCGGUGUAGCGGUGAAAUGCGUAGAUAUCGGGAGGAACAUCAGUGGCGAAGGCGGCUACCUGGACCAGCACUGACACUGAGGCACGAAAGCGUGGGGAGCAAACAGG
rnacentral:rRNA from 1 species